UGGACAAGAUCUUUUUUUCUAAAAUGCUAGCAAAACAGAUAAACAUUAUUAAAGAGAUUCCUAAGGCCACACGUGGUGGCUCACGCCUGUAAUCCUAGAACUUUGGGAGGCCAAGGCAGGCGGAUAACCCAAGGUCAGGAGUUCGAGACCAGUCUGGCCAACAUGGUGAAACCUUGUCUCUACUAAAAAUACAAAAAAUUAGCCUGCGUGGUGGUGGGUUCCUGUAAUCCCCGCUGUCUGCGAGGCUGAGGUAGCAGAAUUGCUUGAACCAAGAAGGCGAGGUUGCAGUGAGCUGAGAUCAUGCCACUGCACUCCAGCCUAGGUGACUGAGUGAAAAUCCAUAUCAGAAAAAAAAGAAAAAAAUUAGCAGGGCAUGCCUGUAAUCCCAGCUUCCUGAAUCACAAGAAUUACUUGAGCCCAGGUGGCGGAGCUUGCAGUGAGCCGAGAUCAUGCCACAGCACUCCAGCCUGGUUGACAGAGCCAGAUCCUGUCAAAAAAAAAAGAAAAGAGAUGCCUACAUUGCCUUGCAGGUUUCUGAGUGAACAUCCAGUUUAUUGAUUCCCAGCACUGGAAUCCGAGCAACCCACUGCGCCAGCCAAAGCAGCAGUGUUAAGACUGACGGUGCUCUUCUGCCUGAUAUUCUCCGGUCUGGCUUCCUUCUUGAGUCCGUAAUAAGCGGCUCUGCCUUCCCGGAGCUCCAAACGUUGGUCGGGGGGAACCAGUCCCGUUUACUCUGCACGAAGAGCUGCCACGCCGAGGCGCCGGCAAAACUGCUGCGCCGGCCACGAGAGUUGCGCUGGCGACCCAUGGGGCUCCUCCACUGGGAAUCUUCUGGUCCUUGAGCAACGAAAAUUCGUCUGAAAGUGUGGCAUCCUCUCGUUAUCUGCGCUUUCACUGGAAGCUACAAUCCCGAGCUGUUAGCAAUCAGCCAUCUUGGAUCUUCAAAAAUAAAAAGAAGAGACCCAGUUUCAAAAAAAAAAAAUCAUAUUAAGGAUGAUAUUUUUUUCUGUCUUCAAACUUUCUGAAAUAAUACUUUCAUUAUAUUAGUAGAUUAUAUCAAGCAAAUAUAUACAAAGUAAAUAAUUUUGAAAAAGUACAAAGUAUAUUAGUAUAUUUUUCUUUUUUUUGGAAACUAAAUUUGGGAUAUUAAUUGAGUUUCCUGGAUUGUUAUAACUUUUUUUUUUUGAGGUGGGGUCUUGUUCUGUCACCCAGGUUGGAAUGCAGUGGUGUGAUAUUGGCUUACUACAACCUCUGCCUUUCAGGUUCAAGUAAUUCUCCUGCCUCAGCCUCCUGAGUAGCUGGGAUUACAGGUGCCUGCCACAGUGUCCCGCUAAUUUUUGUAUUUUGAGUAGAGACGGGGUUGGCCAGACUGGUCUCUAGCUCCUGACCUCAAGUGAUCCACCUACCUCAGCCUCCCAAAGUGCUGGGAUUAUAGGCGUGAGUCACUGUGCCUGGCCUGUUAAAACAUUUGAGAAGAAAAAUUUUACACUAAAAGAGUUCCUAUAGAAUAAUUCAGACCAUUUAAUUUUACAGAAUCCCUGUGAAGUGAAAGACCUGGUUAAAGGUGGUGGCUUAGCUGAAAUUGCUUCUCUUGACAAUUACAACAGAGUUUUCUCUUGGACUGCGGUUCCUAAUCUAGAAUCUAGAAGGCAUAUGAAGUCUCCUUUUAAAGUUCCUAAAAUUUUAUACACUUAGACAUUUUAGUGGCCCUACAUUAAGAAGAUAUGUAAUGUCAAAAUGUCAUGGUUACAGUAAUAUAUUAAAAUGGAUGUUUCUGUUAAUUAAACACAGUAAUAUCUAAAUACAGACAAAAAUAUGUCAUAGUUGUCACAGCUACAGACAGUGUUUCCCAUACAUAAUGUGUUUUCACAUAGUAUGCCAUACUCUAAAAAUUUUAAUACAUUGCCGACCGUGAAAUUCUGAAAAAGUCUUUCUGGUUGGCCUGCUGCACUGGAUGUAAAUGUGUGAUCAUAUUCAUACCCUUCAGGUUGGGAAUCACUGUUGUGUAUUCUUUCUUGUAGAUUAGAACACCACUUCUGGGUUCAUGGCUUGCCUGUACUUCUCUUAGAAUACUAAGAAAUAUAAUUUUGUUAAAGCUUCUUGUGAAGCAUUGGCUUACGUGGAUUAUAUGAGAUUGGCCUGAAUGUGUGCUGCCUCCUUACAUAUUCUAGAAACGAUUUAAUCAUUUUUAGUUUAUCCUCUCUCUCUCCCUCUUUCUCUCCCUCUUCUCUCUCUCUCUGUGUAUUUGUCUGUCUGUCUCUCACGUACACACACACACAUGCCAAAAUAACUCUAUUUCAAAAUAUUUAUGUAGUCAAAAUUUUAAUAUUUGCGAAUCACGUAAUUAUGAAAAAGUCUUUCUGGUUGGGCUGCUGCAUUGGAUGUAGAUGUGAGAUCACAGUCAUCUGUUUAUUUUUGUUCUUUUAUAUUCUAAUUCAAAGUAACAAAGUGUACAUGCAUUGUUUUUACCAAAACAUUUGUGAAAUGAAAUUUUGUGAGAAGUUACUGAGACUGAGGAUUUUUUCUUUUGAAAUUCGUAAAAUAUAUGAUAAACAAAUUCUUGGUAAUUGAUUGCUAUAUGUGGAACCCUAAAUUGAGUGUUUCACUAAAUUACACCAGUGUGGGUUUUAUAAAAAAGGUAGUUUUGCUUCUGCUUUUGAAUUCUAGUAAAUUAUGUUAUGACUAAAAACUGACUUCUCACUAAAAUUGUCAACAUGCAUUAUUGAAUGUAGUGUGUAUUGUUCAUACAGGUACAAGUGUCAUGGUCUAGAUAGAUGUGUAGGCAUCUUGGACUAUGGGGUAACCUGGCCAUUGUUGUUUCAGAAUCUUAGAUUGUCAUAUUUACGUAUUUAAAGAUUAGUCCUUCAGAGAGUUUGAUAAGUAAUGUGAAGGGACAAAUACCACCAGUGUGUAGUAGUUUAACAAAUGUAUACUAGUUUAGCUAUGUAGGGUUUUGUUCUUUGUUGUUGUCAUAUAUAGUUUGUUGGAAUAAAAAAUGUUUUAUUGAGGUAUGAAUUACUUAGAAUACAGUUUACCAA